UACGUAGGGUGCGAGCGUUAACCGGAAUUACUGGGCGUAAAGCGUGCGCAGGCGGUUCGUUGUGUCGGCGGUGAAAGCCCCGGGCCCAACCUGGGAAUGGCCGUUGAAACUGGCGAACUGGAGUGUGGCAGAGGGGGGUGGAAUUCCGCGUGUAGCAGUGAAAUGCGUAGAGAUGCGGAGGAACACCGAUGGCGAAGGCAGCCCCCUGGGCUGACACUGACGCUCAGGCACGAAAGCGUGGGGAGCAAACAGG
rnacentral:rRNA from 1 species